GGGAUGUACGGGACAGGCCUCUCCCUAAGCAUAGAGAGACAGUGCUAUCGUGCUGACCUUGAUGCAGAGAAAACAGGAGAAGAAGAAGGAUGAGAAAAGAAUGUGGAAACGGCCAAAUAAGGCACAAUGUUAUCUGGUGUGAACCAAUCAGAGUGGGACAUGACAGCACGGUUUUGUAGGUAAAAAUGUAUAUAAGCUGUGUUUAGUAGUGAAUAGACGCCAUUUUGCUGCUCAUCGUAUUGGUGUGUGUCUGCAGUCAUUUGGCCCUGAUCAGGCUAUUGGUCCGUGAGCGCAGAGGCCUAACACAGGUGGCUAACAUCAUUGUUGCAGAAAGCAACAAAUGGUGCCCCGUGUGAGGAGUGCAUGAGGCACAGACUGUGUUCUGACGCUCUCUGUGCUGCUGCGAGCUGUGGGGUGACGCCAUAGCACGAGAUUUGGGGUGACGCCCAGCCCGAGUACCGUGAAGAGAGGGGGAGCCUGUAGAAGACGACUGGGGUGAUGCCCUGCAGAAGAUCGUGGUGAUGACGAUAGUGCCGGCCGGCAAGUAGAACCUGUGUUGCGGUGGGGUCCGGGGGGACGACGGGACGCCCACGGAGGACCCGUGUGGACGACGGUGUCGAGUGAGACUUCGCGGUGACGGCGAGGGGAUGACUAUGGAACAUGUUCUCAAGGGGCCGAGAGGAGACGGAGCCGCCAAUCACCACUGGCAAGAUAGCGCCGGCUCAGCCGACUGCGCUCAGUUCAAAAGAAGACAAACAACAAGAGAGUGGAUGUUUGUUGUCUCGUCCCCCUCCCCCGUAUCCAGACCCCUCAGGCGGAACGUUGUAUCCUUUAUCAGAAUUACGUCAGUGUUACCUGACUCAAGGGGGCGGAGGAAGCUGUGGCUACAUGGGCAGGAUCAACUUAGUGCCCACGUGGGGAGGGACCAGACGAAAGGUCCGUCCAAUGCGGACAGGGGGCAUAGCCUACCGUCUCUGGUCACUCCCAGGGGCGGUAGUGCGAGUGAUAGUGCAGAGGAGAAAGAAGGGACUGGCUUUGAGUGCAGGGGGAGGGAUCAAAUGACGGACUGGAAUUGGAUUAGAUUGGAGGCUUUGGGGAAGGGUAUAGUUCCAGAGGCAUUCCUGGUGAUUGUGAGUGAUCAUGGUCCCAAAUGGGUGCCGCCUGACCCCGGGGGUAUUACGCGCCUGGUGGAAUUUAUGGAUAAAAGAGGCCUGAAGUCGCCUCUGACAUUAAAUGCACUACAAACUUUGGCUGCACUGGGGCCUCUCUUCCCCCGUGACAUCACAAACCUAAUGCGUAUGGUGCACAGGCUGGUUCAAUAUACGUUAUGGGAGACGGACUGGAUGGCCGAGUUGGGGAUGCGUGCCGGGGCGGCAGGGGUCAGCCUGGGCUGCUCCCUGCAUGGGACCGGCAUCCAGCGGCUUUCAGGGAGGGCCGUGGGAGUGGCUUCGCCCCAGGGCCAGUUAGCUAAACUAAGACCGGGGGAGCUAAUAGCAGCCACAGAUGCAGUGGUGGAAGCGUUUAAUAAACUUGUGCAUAAGGCCGAACCACCUGCUCCGUGCACAGAUAUUACCCAGGGCCCGAAUGAAUGCUUUCAAAGCUUUGCAGACAGGCUUUUAGCUGCUGCAGAGGGGUCUGAUCUCCUGGAACUGGCCCAAGGGCCAGUGAUCAUUGACUGCCUGCAGCAGAAAUCGCAUGACAAUGUUAAGGCAUCGCUGCGAGCCAGCCCAAGUACGCUUAAUAUCCCGGGAGAAAUUAUUCAGUAUGUCUUAGAUAAGCUCAAGGUGGCUCAUUUAACUAAUGAAGGGCUAGCCACAGCUAUUGUCGUAGCUGUUGGCCCGCAACAGCAAAGAUCGCUGCAGCAGCAAGGGCUGUGUUUCCGAUGCGGCCAGUAUGGCCAUGUCAGAGCACAGUGCCCCUGAGGGGGAGGCCAGUCAGGGCCUCCUGAUCACAGGAAGGGCUUGGUAAAGGGUAUCCGUUGUCGGGUAUGUGGCAGUUAAACAUCAUGAAUCUGGGAAAUUCUGUGGGUACCAUCACGAAAAGUAAUACCAGAUAUAAGUAACAUAUCUGCAAAAACUGAGUCUAGGUGCGAGUUUUCUACAGAAAUUCUUCGUUGGCAAACCCAAGCCAACUCCAGAACAACUGAGGGACAGACGACGGGAUCAAGAACCACUCAUCAAGAGGAGCACUACACCUGCAACGCUGACACUUCCGAUGUUGCUGAUGUUUAUGGUGUCCCUGGUGAUUACAGCAUGUCGCAAACAACUACAAUGGACGCAAGAACAUAUGCAGAAGAUUACAGAAGAGCGUGAUCCCUUUGGGAGCUGGCUGGAUGGACUGUUUGGGGGAACGGGUUCAUGGUUAAAGCAACCACUUAAGGUUUUCACGAUAGGGUUUGCAAUCUUUGUGUGUAUUGUAAUCUGUCUUUCACGCUUUGUAGGAUGCUUGUAGAACUGCCUUCAACAAAUGAUGGACAAGACCUUUGACUAUCGCAUUGAGUAUCAUAGAUUGUGUGAAAAAUUAUAGAGGGGUUUAGGUUGUUGCAUUCAUGCUGUAACGGGGCAAGGCUUGGCCGAGCACGGGAAAGAAUUCCCUGUUGCUCUGAUGAUUGCUUAAGAAUUGUAGAAGAAGGUAGUAGGAAUAGUGUGCUGAAAUAUAUUUAGGAUUAGGCGUUUUGCGCUGCUUCGCGAUGUACGGGUUAGGCGUGUGUGUAAGUAGUAUUUAGCUUAGGGUGGGGGGGAUGUUGUAGUAGGCGUCUUGCGGGGCUACAGGAUGUACGGGACAGGCCUCUCCCUAAGCAUAGAGAGACAGUGCUAUCGUGCUGGCCUUGAUGCAGAGAAAACAGGAGAAAAAGAAGGAUGAGAAAAGAAUGUGGAAACAGCCAAAUAAGGCACAAUGUUAUCUGGUGUGAACCAAUCAGAGUGGGACAUGACAGCACAGUUUUGUAGGUAAAAAUGUAUAUAAGCUGUGUUUAGUAGUGAAUAGAUGCCAUUUUGCUGCUCAUCGUAUUGGUGUGUGUCUGCAGUCAUUUGGCCCUGAUCAGGCUAUUGGUCCGUGAGCGCAGAGGCCUAACACAGGUGGCUAACAUCAUUGUUGCAGAAAGCAACAACUGGGUACUUCAGCCAGACAGACAUGAUUUUUAAAAUAUGAUGGUGAGUGACUUGGCAACCACAUCAGCCAUCUCUCUCAGAACCCUAGGUUGGAUAUCAUCUGGCCCCAUGGACUUACAUAAAUUCAGUUUCAUGAGGAGGUCUCAGGCUUGUUCCACUUUUACAGUGGGAUGGAAUCCGCUCCUCUCACCCACACCUAGAGCUUCGAGGUCCUGGCAGACAUGGGGAGGAGCCUGACAACCAGUC
ensembl:lncRNA